GGGAUUGGCGACGUUGGUGCUCCCGGCGCGCCAGUGGAGGGCGGGAGCCCGACGGAGGAGUGUGGGCUGCGGGGCAGAUGUCAUGUGGCCUGUGCUUUGGACCGUGGUGCGUACCUAUGCUCCCUAUGUCACAUUCCCUGUGGCCUUUGUGGUCGGGGCUCUGCUAGGCAAGGACCACACCCAGGUGGUGAGCCUUAAGGACAAGCUGGAAUUUGCCCCUAAAGCUGUCCUGAACAGAAACCGACCGGAGAAGAAUUAACGAAGGACACAGGGCCCUAUGGGUCCUUCAGUGGGCCUUGUCUGGCCCUGCCACCAUGUCGACCCAGCUCUAGAACCCACAUCUGAUUUGCUUUAUUGCUUCUGGCCCCUCUCGCCCCACACAGCCACACACUCUGGCUGCUCUGCUGCGGCCAGGCAGACGCGCUGGUAGCUGAGGGGCCAGUGAAGAGGAAGGCUCACGAGGGUUCUGACCUGAAAGUUGCAUCUGCUGGUUGGUGGCCACCGCUGCUCAGGCUUCUGCGCUGCUGGGUGCACCACUGGGAGGAGUUAUGAGAUGAACACUGGCUCUCAGUCCCUUCGGGGAAGCAGUUCGGCCCCAAGGGGGAGUGGCUGGGAUUGGGGGUUGUCUUUAGGAGGGAUACCUACAUGUCUAGUUCCAGUUCGCACUGGGAGGAGGUCACAGAUCUGCCUGGCUUGCCCUGUCCUUUGUGCUCAUUCUCCCUCCAGUCCUGGCCUAGCACUCAGGCAGGGAUUCCCCUGGGAAGGAAAGCCCUUUUGUUCUUGGGAGCCCAGGCUGUUCACCUUGGGGCAUGUGACUUCGCUUGAAAACAGUCACUACCUUUCACCCCCCCAUCACUGUUCAGAGCAAAACUUGAUUAAAGUGGUGUCUGAGAACCAUAUUGAUCUAAUCCUAUCUUCCAGGUGGUGUUGGGGUCUCCUUAGAGUUAUGCAAGUGCAGGUGACUCCAGGUAGGAAAACGCUGGCCUUUAACUGAGUAAGGACUUCGGGGCCAUAGAAACUUUGUUUUACUAACAUGGUUGUACUGGGUCCCAGAGGCACCCGUUCCCAAGAGCCUUUUUAUCAUGAUAACAAGAGGCUUAUAGGACCUUUCAAAGUCUAAAUUAGAGGAGCCCAGGAAGCUGAACAAUUGUUGUCAAUUUACCAAUUUCAUGCACGUACGUAUACACACAUAUAGUUUUCCCGGUGAAAGUAGUAUUUGUACAUUAAAGAACAUUUGGUAGGGAUUUAAAAAAAAUGGUUACCCAAGAGAUCCCUCCAUUGCAUAGUGCGUUAAUAAUCCGGCUCAUCUCAUGGUGUUGCUAGGUCAAUGCCUGAUGCAGUGGUUUAAGGAUCUGGUGUUGCAGCUGUAGCCUAGGUUGUAGAUGUGGCUCGGAUUUGAUCCUGUGGCCCAGGAACUUUAUAUGCUGUGGGUGCAGCCAAAAAUGGGGAAAACAAAAACAAAAAACCCAAACAGAUAGUUAUCCACACUCUGAGGGCCCAUUUACAGCUAAAAAGCUCACAUUUUGGUAUCUUUCACUAAUUCUUGACCUAGUUUUUUGCUUUCUUUCUGAUGGUUAUCAUUACUGUACAUUUAAUUUUAUAUUCUUUUUUCACAUGGUGUUUCACAUCGUAAUCAUUUUCUCAUUUUAUCACAUGGUCUUCAUAGUCCUCAUUGUUUCAACAGCUGUAUAAUUGCCCAUUGAGUGGGAACAUAGCAU
ensembl:lncRNA